rnacentral:tmRNA from 1 species
GGGGGUGAUCGGCUUCGACGUUGAUUGCGAAACCUCAGGAGCAUGCCGAGGUGUAGGGUUCCUCGUAAAUCCAUCUACAACACAAUAGUUGCCAACGACGACAACUACGCACUGGUAGCCUAGACGCUGCUAGUCCUUUCGCCGGACUUGCCUGUAGGUCCGGAUUUGAAGGGUCAAAUCAUACAGGAUCGCUCGCCGGUUGCGCCUGUUGACCGGCUGCUAAAGGUAAGCGGGCUCGCCUUGCGGUUCAGUCUGUCCGACGACUGGAUGCAGGGUUAAAUCAAGGUGCGGACUAAGCAUGUAGCCGCCUGUGGCGUAGAAUUUGCGGACGCGGGUUCAAUUCCCGCCACCUCCACCA